CCUACGGGGGGCAGCAGUGAGGAAUAUUGGUCAAUGGCCGGAAGGCUGAACCAGCCAAGCCGCGUGAAGGACGAAGGUGCCAAGCAUUGUAAACUUCUUUUGUCAAGGGACAAAAUCAGGCUCGAGAGCCUGACCGAGGGUACUUGAAGAAAAAGCAUCGGCUAACUACGUGCCAGCAGCCGCGGUAAUACGUAGGUGGCAAGCGUUAUCCGGAUUUACUGGGUGUAAAGGGCGUGUAGGCGGGACUGCAAGUCAGAUGUGAAAAUUAUGGGCUCAACCCAUAACCUGCAUUUGAAACUGUAGUUCUUGAGUGAUGGAGAGGCAGGCGGAAUUCCGUGUGUAGCGGUGAAAUGCGUAGAUAUACGGAGGAACACCAGUGGCGAAGGCGGCCUGCUGGACAUUAACUGACGCUGAGGCGCGAAAGCGUGGGGAGCAAACAGGAUUAGAUACCCCUGUAGUC
rnacentral:rRNA from 1 species